CCUACGGGGCGCAGCAGUGGGGAAUAUUGGGCAAUGGGCGCAAGCCUGACCCAGCAACGCCGCGUGGAGGAUGAAGGCCUUCGGGUUGUAAACUUCUUUUCUCAGGGACGAAGCAAGUGACGGUACCUGAGUAAUAAGCAACGGCUAACUACGUGCCAGCAGCCGCGGUAAUACGUAGGUGGCAAGCGUUAUCCGGAUUUACUGGGUGUAAAGGGCGUGUAGGCGGGACUGCAAGUCAGAUGUGAAAACCACGGGCUCAACCUGUGGCCUGCAUUUGAAACUGUAGUUCUUGAGUACUGGAGAGGCAGACGGAAUUCCUAGUGUAGCGGUGAAAUGCGUAGAUAUUAGGAGGAACACCAGUGGCGAAGGCGGUCUGCUGGACAGCAACUGACGCUGAGGCGCGAAAGCGUGGGGAGCAAACAGGAUUAGAUACCCUUGUAGUC
rnacentral:rRNA from 1 species